UCGCGAAAACUUCACAAUGGGGGAAACCCCGAUGAGGGAAUUCCAAGUGCCAUCACAUUGUGUUGGCUGUUCCCUGGUCUAAAAAACCAGAGAAGUAAGGGCCGGGUAAGACGGGUGCCAGCCGCCGCGGUAAUACCCGCGGCCCGAGUGGUGGUCGAUAUUAUUGAGCCUAAAACGUCCGUAGCCGGUCUUGUAAAUCCUUGGGUAAAUCGACCAGCUUAACUGUUCGAAGUCCGGGGAGACUGCAAGACUUGGGAUCGGGAGAGGUCAGAGGUACUUCUGGGGUAGGGGUAAAAUCCUGUAAUCCUAGAAGGACCACCGGUGGCGAAGGCGUCUGACUAGAACGAAUCCGACGGUGAGGGACGAAGCCCUGGGGCGCAAACGGGAUUAGAUACCCCGGUAGUCCAGGGUGUAAACGCUGCGGGCUUGGUGUUGGGGUCCUUUGAGGGCGCCCAGUGCCGGAGAGAAGUUGUUAAGCCUGCUGCUUGGGGAGUACGUCCGCAAGGAUGAAACUUAAAGGAAUUGGCGGGGGAGCGACCGCGAACGGAGGAGCGGUGCGGUUCAAGUUGGAGUUUAACAACC
rnacentral:rRNA from 1 species